UGAACUUACUGAACAGACAUCAACAGUGGCAUUUGAAUGUAGUUUCUGAGCCUGCAAUGAAAAAAACAAAAAAAAGAAAUAAAAAUCACAAACCAAAUACUAUUUUAACAGUUAAGCCCAAAAUUAUUCAAACCCUGAGAGAUUUACAUAUUAAGUUAUCUGUUGAUUUGACCAGUGACAUUAAUGUUUAAAAGUCACCCAGCCAGAGUCCUGGCUUGAAUCUGUGGAGAAAGAUACAGAUUAGGGUGAUGGUACGGAGGUCUUCUACUCUCAAACACUUGGAGCUCAUCACCAAAGACAAACAUGUCAUGUUUCAUGUGAAACAUGUUCAAAGAACAAUUUGAUUGUAAUUUUAUUUUAUUUAUUUAACCUUGAUUUUACCAGGAUAAAGUCAGACCUUUCCCCACUAGAACAUCUGUGGGACUAACUGAGACGUCAACUCUGACUCGGUGCCCAUCUGCUGGAUCUCCAGUGUCAAUUACGACAGUUGUGGGCUGACUCAGUCCUGCAUGGAAUCAGUCUGCAUCCGGCCAAGAGCAGAAACUCAGCUCUGCUUCACCAACACAAAAAGGUUUGAGUGUGUUACUUUUUAGUCAGACUGAAGUCAACUUGGCCGUCUCUACUAUAUUAAUCUGUCAUAUUCAUGAACCUCAUUUACUAGACAUUUCAUACAAGGCUCUUUACUUUACAAUACUGAUGAGUAACAUUCUGCCUCCUCCAUCACCCCACAAAGGUCACUCUGGAUCUCACCUCACAUCUGUUUUCCACCUGGAAACCACGGAGUGAGCAACCGUCCCACAAAGCAGUAAUUUCUUCAGACAGCCGGUGGUUAGAAUGAAAGCAUGAUUUGUGG